rnacentral:lncRNA from 1 species
GGUGGUUCCAGCUACCGCCUCAGCCCCAAGCUGCUUGCCAAGAGUUACAAACUUCAUGUCACUCAGUAUCAGAGGCUGAAAGUCCAAGAUCAAGGCAUCAGCAGAUCUAAGGACCUGAGCACCUCCUAAAGGCCCCCUCCUGACACCAGCACACGGUGGGUGAGGAUUCAACAUUGGAACUGGAGAGGACGCAGAUAUUCAGUCUACAGCAUCUGUGCCGCAAAGAGCCAUCUUCCUGUCAGAUCUUGUCAGAUGAGUCCUGCAUGUUUUUAAUCUGGAAAGGUGGCUGACAAAGAGCUUCUGCUCAGAGGAGGCAAAAAAGAAGGAAGUGCUCACGGAAGGAUGGGGAUAUGCCAAAAGGGCAUAGAAGCCAACCUGCUGGAGCUCCCAAUGGCGAAAGCUGGACCGAGUUGAGCAAAAAAAACAAAUAAUGAUAGCAGUGGAUUCUAAUUCAUAGAAUAAUAUAAAUAUUCAUGGGUCCAUAUUGAUACAAAAAAUGCAAACCAGUGAGAGGAGAGAACUCAUGUGUUGUGCCUGCUACUCACUGCUGUGUCUCCCCUGGGGCCAGAACACAACAUGGUGCACAGUCGGCGGUAACUGCUCAGAGUGGAAUGAAGGAGCUGUUGGUGUCACCCAUGCACAGGUGAGGGGACGGAGCCUGGAGGGCAAGGGCCAGCCUGAGGAGGGCUGUCAGCAGUGGGCGGAGCUGUGAACUCUGCUUGCUUACUACUACCUCCCAAAGGUGAGGCCAAAAACAGCCCAACAGCCCAAAAGCAGCCAGGUCUGACACUUAACAAUCCUGUCAGAUUCUGAAGGCCUUGGCUCUCCAUUUUAG